AAAAAGGUAUCGUGUGAUUUUUCGAUUUAAUCAUUUAUUCUGUUAGAAAAAAUCGUCCGUGUUUUUAUUAUAAAUUAUGAAAUCGUGAAAUUGUAUGUUUUCCUACGUUUUCUCCCACUUAAGUGCUUUUAUUUAAAAAAUAGCGUCGAAAACCAAAAUAUGACCUGUUUAUAGUACAAUCAAGACAACUUGAGAUUUCAGAAAAGUUGCGACACGUAAAACUCGG